UCAAUCAUAGCUCAGCUCGUAAAGCAUGAGUCUCUUUAAUCUCAGGGUUGUGGGUUCGAAUCCCAUGUUUGGUCAAA